ACGGUACACCGAAACGUACCGGUACCGAAAUAUUUCGUUCCAGUGCCUCAACUGGAAUGGUCUCCGGAACGGAUUUCAAAACUUUGAUUUUAAUAAGGUAGGGUGGAAAAAUGUGAUUAAUAAGUUUAGCGAGAAAGUUGAUAAAGAAUUUAACUACAAAUAACUUAAGAACAAGUGGGAUAGUUUAAAAAAUGAUUGGAAUAUUUGGACAAAAUUAGUUGGAAAAGAAACUGGCUUUGGAUGGGAUUUGAUGAAGAAGACAGUUGAUGCUAUGGAUGAGUGGUGGGCAAAAAAAUUAUAGGUACUAUGUUUUCUCCUAUUUAUUUUUUUUCUAUAUAAUCCAUUAAUAUUUACUAUAACAGAUUACAUUGCACAUACAGGAAAUUUCAAAAGCAGCCAAGUUUCGGAAUGCAGACAUGGAGAAUAAUGGUUACGACACUAAACAUUACACAAGUGAUGCUGAUAAUAGCGAAGAAGAAAAAGAGAAUGAUAUUGACUUUGUGAUAGCAUUACAAUUAAUGGUGGCUUCUAAAUAUUACACAACAUAUAUUGUAAAGGAACCGUGUAGGACAUCUCCACCUAUAGGUCAUAAGUUAGUUAUAGAGAUUCUAAAUGGUCAUCUUGAUAGAUGCCAUUGACAAUUUAGGAUAGAAAAAUAUGUAUUUCAUGCUUUAUGCAAAGACUUGAAUGAAAUAUGUAACUUAACUAGUACUUGAAAUAUAACUAUCAAAUAAAUGGGAGGAAUUUUUUUUAUUACAUUAA